rnacentral:rRNA from 1 species
GACAGGGGUCUCGAGCGUUAAUCGGAAUUACUGGGCUUAAAGGGUGCGUAGGCCGGCCCGCAAGUGCUUUGUGAAAUCCCCCGGCCCAACCGGGGAACUGCUAGGCAUACUGCGGGUCUGAGGAAGGUAGGGGUUGCCAGAACUGUAGGUGGAGCGGUGAAAUGCGUAGAUAUCUACAGGAAUGCCGAUGGUGAAGACGGGCAACUGGGCCUUUCCUGACGCUGAGGCACGAAAGCGUGGGGAGCAAACAGG